AGAAGGGAGGACUUAGACUCAAGAAAAGAGGAAAAAAAAAAGAAGAAAAAAAGUGUCAAGUUCACCGCUCAACGUUAUUUCCAGCGCUGAGCGCGAGUUUCAAGGGUGAGGCCAUUACCUCUCGCUUAAGCGGCGCCGCUGAGUGUCUAGUGAUUUGGAGGCAAACUGCUGAGCGACGGAAUGGACCGCUGAGUCAGCGACUUGGAGGGAAACCGCUGAGCGGUCAAAUUAAGCGUUGAGCGCUGAAAUGCUGUGCCUAGGCGUAAAUUCU
rnacentral:lncRNA from 1 species